rnacentral:rRNA from 1 species
CAGCCGCCGCGGGAAUACGAAGGGGGCUAGCGUUGUUCGGAAUCACUGGGCGUAAAGCGCACGUAGGCGGACACUUAAGUCAGAGGUAAAAUCCCAAGGCUCAACCUUGGAACUGCCUUUGAUGCUGGGUGUCUUGAGGUCGAGAGAGGUGAGUGGAACUGCGAGUGUAGAGGUGAAAUUCGUAGAUAUUCGCAAGAACACCAGUGGCGAAGGCGGCUCACUGGCUCGAUUCUGACGCUGAGGUGCGAAAGCGUGGGGAGCAAACAGGAUUAGAUACCCCUGUAGUCCCUGUCUCUUAUAC